rnacentral:rRNA from 1 species
GACAGAGGUUAUCUACCUUUUAGUACAGUAUAAAUCCUGUAUAGUUUAUAAAGAUUAAUUAUCGCUAAAAGAUGAGCCUACGUGGGAUUAGGUAGUUGGUUUUGUAAAAGGGGACCAAGCCUACGAUCCCUAGCUGAUUUGAAAGAAUGAUCAGCCACAUUGGGACUGAGACACGGCCAAACUUAAUAAUAAGGCAGCAGUGGGGAAUUUUGGACAAUGAGCGAAAGCUUGAUCCAGCAAUACUAUGUGAGUGAUUGAAGGCUAUUUGGUCGUAAAGCUCUUUUAUCAAAGAGGAAUAAA